rnacentral:rRNA from 1 species
AGCAAUGGAUGCCGGCGAGUGGCGCACGGGUGCGUAACACGUAUGCAAUCACCUUUAACUGGGGGAUAGCCCCGAGAAAUCGGGAUUAAUACCCCAUAACUUAUGGUGAGGCAUCUCACUAUAAUUAAAGCUCCGGCGGUUUUAGAUGACAUGCGCGACAUUAGUUAGUUGGUGAGGUAACGGCUCACCAAGACUUCGUGUCUAGGGGUUCUGAGAGGAUUCACCCCCACACUGGUACUGUGACACGACCAGACUCCUACGGGAGGCAGCAGUAAGGAAUAUUGGUCAAUGGACGCACCAUGCCGCGUGAAGGAAGACGGCCCUACGGGUUGU